rnacentral:rRNA from 1 species
GAUGAACGCUGGCUACAGGCUUAACACAUGCAAGUCGAGGGGAAACGACGGGGAAGCUUGCUUCCUUGGGCGUCGACCGGCGCACGGGUGAGUAACGCGUAUCCAACCUGCCUCUGACUGAGGGAUAACCCGUCGAAAGUCGGCCUAAUACCUCAUGGCAUCGUCUGCGGGCAUCCAACGACGAUUAAAGAUUUCAUCGGUCAGAGAUGGGGAUGCGUCUGAUUAGUUAGUUGGCGGGGUAACGGCCCACCAAGGCUACGAUCAGUAGGGGUUCUGAGAGGAAGGUCCCCCACAUUGGAACUGAGACACGGUCCAAACUCCUACGGGAGGCAGCAGUGAGGAAUAUUGGUCAAUGGGCGAGAGCCUGAACCAGCCAAGUAGCGUGCAGGAAGACGGCCCUAUGGGUUGUAAACUGCUUUUAUGCGGGGAUA